GGUGCGUAACGCGUAUGCAACCUACCUUAAUCAGGGGGAUAGCCUCUCGAAAGAGAGAUUAACACCGCAUAACAUUAUGAUAUGGCAUCAUAUUAUAAUCAAAUAUUUAUAGGAUUAAGAUGGGCAUGCGUGACAUUAGCUAGUUGGUGAGGUAACGGCUCACCAAGGCUACGAUGUCUAGGGGAUCUGAGAGGAUGACCCCCCACACUGGUACUGAGACACGGACCAGACUCCUACGGGAGACAGCAGUAAGGAAUAUUGGUCAAUGGAGGCAACUCUGAACCAGCCAUGCCGCGUGCAGGAAGACGGCCCUAUGGGUUGUAAACUGCUUUUAUACGGGAAUAAACCUCUCUACGUGUAGGGAGUUGAAUGUAGUGUAAGAAUAAGAUCGGCUA
rnacentral:rRNA from 1 species